AUUGAACGCUGGCGGCAUGCCUUACACAUGCAAGUCGAACGGUAACAGGUCUUCGGAUGCUGACGAGUGGCGAACGGGUGAGUAAUACAUCGGAACGUGCCCGAUCGUGGGGGAUAACGGAGCGAAAGCUUUGCUAAUACCGCAUACGAUCUACGGAUGAAAGCAGGGGACCGCAAGGCCUUGCGCGGACGGAGCGGCCGAUGGCAGAUUAGGUAGUUGGUGGGAUAAAGCUUACCAAGCCGACGAUCUGUAGCUGGUCUGAGAGGACGACCAGCCACACUGGGACUGAGACACGGCCCAGACUCCUACGGGAGGCAGCAGUGGGGAAUUUUGGACAAUGGGCGAAAGCCUGAUCCAGCCAUGCCGCGUGCAGGAUGAAGGCCUUCGGGUUGUAAACUGCUUUUGUACGGAACGAAAAGACUCCUUCUAAUAAAGGGGGUCCAUGACGGUACCGUAAGAAUAAGCACCGGCUAACUACGUG
rnacentral:rRNA from 1 species